ensembl:lncRNA
UUUUAUUAUAAACAAAAUAUAUGUGAAUAUAUAGACAUUAGUCUUUUUGAUUUGAUUAGACCAAUGUUUGUUUUAUGUUUGUUUUUAACAUUGUUUAUUUGUUAUUAGACUAAGGUGUUGCCUGGAAAACAACUGAAGAACAAAAUAACAUGAAUUGUUGUAUGGCCUUAAAUUACUACAUACACACAGCUACAUUACAUUACUACAUACACACAGCUACAUUACAUUACUACAUACACACAGCUACAUUACACACAGCUACAUUACACACAGCUACAUUACACACAGCUACAUUAUAUUACUACAUACACACAGCUACAUUACAUUACUACAUACACACAGCUACAUUACAUUACUACAUACACACAGCUACAUUACACACAGCUACAUUACACACAGCUACAUUACACACAGCUACAUUAUAUUACUACAUACACACAGCUACAUUACAUUACUACAUACACACAGCUACAUUACAUUACUACAUACACACAGCUACAUUACUACAUACACACAGCUACAUUACUACAUACACACAGCUACAUUACUACAUACACACAGCUACAUUAUAUUACUACAUACACACAGCUACAUUAUAUUACUACAUACACACAGCUACAUUAUAUUACUACAUACACACAGCUACAUUACUACAUACACACAGCUACAUUACUACAUACACACAGCUACAUUACUACAUACACACUGCUACAUUACUACAUACACACAGCUAUGUUACAUUACUACAUACACACAGCUACAUUAUAUUACUACAUACACACAGCUACAUUACUACAUACACACAGCUACAUUACUACAUACACACAGCUACAUUACUACAUACACCCAGCUACAUUACUACAUACACACCGCUACAUUACUACAUACACACAGCUACAUUACAUUACUACAUACACACAGCUACAUUAUAUUACUACAUACACACCGCUACAUUACUACAUACACACAGCUACAUUACAUUACUACAUACACACAGCUACAUUACACACAGCUACAUUACACACAGCUACAUUACAUUACUACAUACACACAGCUACAUUAUAUUACUACAUACACACAGCUACAUUACUACAUACACACAGCUACAUUAUAUUACUACAUACACACAGCUACAUUACUACAUACACACAGCUACAUUACAUUACUACAUACACACAGCUACAUUGCAUUACCACAUAAACACAGCUAUAUUACAUUACUACAUACACACAGCUAAAUUACAUUACCACAUAAACACAGCUAAAUUACAUUACUUCAUACACACAGCUACAUUACCACAUACACACAGCUAUAUUACAUUACUACAUACACACAGCUACAUUACAUUACCACAUAAACACAGCUACAUUACAUUACCACAUACACACAGCUACAUUACUACAUACACACAGCUACAUUACAUUGCUACAUACACACAGCUAAAUUACAUUACCACAUAAACACAGCUAAAUUACAUUGCUACAUACACACAGCUAAAUUACAUUACCACAUAAACACAGCUAAAUUACAUUACUUCAUACACACAGCUACAUUACCACAUACACACAGCUAUAUUACAUUACUACAUACACACAGCUACAUUACAUUACCACAUACACACAGUUACAUUACAUUACUACAUACACACAGCUACAUUACUACAUACAACCAGCUACACUACUACAUACACACAGCUACAUUACUACAUACACACAGCUACAUUACAUUACUACAUACACACAGCUACAUUACUACAUACACACAGCUACAUUACUACAUACACACAGCUACAUUAUAUUA